rnacentral:rRNA from 1 species
UACAGAGGGUGCAAGCGUUAAUCGGAAUUACUGGGCGUAAAGCGUGCGUAGGUGGUUCGUUAAGUCUGAUGUGAAAGCCCUGGGCGUCAACCUGGGAAUGGCAUUGGAAACUGGACGACCUAGAGUGCGGUAGAGGGUAGUGGAAUUCCCGGUGUAGCAGUGAAAUGCGUAGAGAUCGGGAGGAACAUCCGUGGCGAAGGCGACUACCUGGACCAGCACUGACACUGAGGCACGAAAGCGUGGGGAGCAAACAGG